AUUGAACGCUGGCGGCAUGCUUUACACAUGCAAGUCGAACGGUAACAGGGACUUCGGUCUGCUGACGAGUGGCGAACGGGUGAGUAACACAUCGGAACGUAUCCUGAAGAGGGGGAUAACCUAGCGAAAGUAAGGCUAAUACCGCAUAUUCUCUGAGGAGGAAAGCGGGGGACCGUAAGGCCUCGCGCUUUAGGGGCGGCCGAUGUCUGAUUAGCUAGUUGGUGGGGUAAAGGCCUACCAAGGCGACGAUCAGUAGCUGGUCUGAGAGGAUGAUCAGCCACACUGGGACUGAGACACGGCCCAGACUCCUACGGGAGGCAGCAGUGAGGGAUAUUAGGCAAUGGGGGGAAACCCUGACCUAGCAACGCCGCGUGAAGGAAGAAGGUCUUCGGAUUGUAAACUUCUUUGACGAGGGACGAUAAUGACGGUACCUCGAAACAAGCCACGGCUAACUACGUG
rnacentral:rRNA from 1 species